rnacentral:rRNA from 1 species
AGUUCGAUUCUGCCAGGAUUGAACGCUGGCGGGAUGCUUUACACAUGCAAGUCGAACGGCAGCACGGACUUCGGUCUGGUGGCGAGUGGCGAACGGGUGAGUAAUGUAUCGGAACGUGCCUUAGUAGCGGGGAUAACUACGCGAAAGCGUAGCUAAUACCGCAUACGCUUCGGGGAAAGCGGGGACCUUCGGGCCUCGCACUAAUAGAGCGGCCGAUAUCGGAUUAGCUAGUUGGUGGGGUAAUGGCUCACCAAGGCGACGAUCCGUAGCUGGUUUGAGAGGACGACCAGCCGCUUUACUUGACCGAGGACACGGCCUGACUCCUACGGGAGGCAGCAGUGGGGAAUUUUGGACAAUGGGGGAAACUCCCGAUCCAGCCAUCCCGCGUGUGCGAUGAAGGCCUUCGGUUGUAAAGCACUUGGCAGGAGAAGAAACGGCACGGGAUAACACUCGUGCAACUGACGGUACCUGCAGAAUAAGCACCGGCUAACUACGUGCCAGCAGCCGCGACAAUACGGUGGGUGCAAGCGUUAAUCGGAAUUACUGGCGUAAGCGUGCGCAGGCGGUUCGGAAAGAAAGAUGUGAAAUCCCAGAGCUUAACUUUGAACUGCAUUUAACUACCGAGCUAGAGUGUGUCAGAGGGAGGUGGAAUUCCGCGUGUAGCAGUGAAAUGCGUAGAGUUAUGCGGAGGAACACCGAUGGCGAAGGCAGCUCUCCCUGAUAACACUGACGCUCAUGCACGAAAGCGUGGGGAGCAAACAGACGAUACCCUGCAGUCCACGCCCUAAACGAUGCUCGUUCAGCUGUUGGGGCCUUCAGGCUUGGUAGCACAGCUAACGCGCAAGUAUGAAGUUGACCGCCGCCUGGGGAGUACGGUCGCAAGAUUAAAACUCAAAGGAAUUGACGGGGACCCGCACAAGCGGUGGAUGAUGAUUAAGCACUCCGAUGCAACGCGAAAAACCUUACCUACCCUUUGAUGUCUGGAAUCCCGAAGAGAUUUGGGAGUGCUCGCAAGAGAACCGGAACACAGGUGCUGCAUGGAGUUGCUCGCCAGCUCGUGUCGUGAGAUGUUGGGUUAAGUCCCGCAAUGAGCGCAACCCUUGUCAUUAGUUGCUACGAAAGGGCACCUAAUGAGACUGCCGGUGACAAACCGGAGGAAGGUGGGGAUGACGUCAAGUCCUCAUGGCCCUUAUGGUAGGGCUUCACACGUCAUACAAUGGUCGGGACAGGUCGCUAACCCGCGAGGGGAGCUAACUCCAGAAACCCGAUCGUAGUCCGGAUCGCAGUUCGCAAACUCGACUGCGGAAGUCGGAAUCGCUAGUACCGCGGAUCAGCAUGUCGCGGUGAAUACGUUCUGGUCUUGUACACACCGCCCGUCACACCAUGGGAGUGGGUUUUACCAGAAGUAGUUAGCCUGAACCGUAAGGAGUGGCGAUUACCACGGUAGGAUUCAUGACUGGGGUGAAGUCGUAACAAGGUAACC